rnacentral:rRNA from 1 species
UACCUACUAGCUAGCCUACCCACCCACAUACAACAACCAACUUAAUACCCCCUAAUAGGCAACUUAAGACUAAUUAAAACAUUUUCCCUCCCCAGUACAGGAGAUGAAAACGGACCCAUCUGAGCUAUAGAAAAAGUACCGCGAGGGAAAGCUGAAAGAGAGAUUAAAUAGACCAGUGAAGUCAAAUAAAGCAAAGAUUAGACCUUGUACCUUUUGCAUCAUGGGCUAGCCAGUAGUACCAGGCAAGAAGCACCACAGUCUGUUGCCCCGAAACUUGGUGAGCUACUCCGCGACAGCCUAUUAUAGGGCGAACCCGUCUCUGUGGCAAAAGAGUGGGAAGAUCGUUGAGUAGAAGUGACAAGCUUACCGAACCUAGUUAUAGCUGGUUGUCCAAGACAUGAAUAUAAGUUCAGCUCUCCAACUUUUUUGAUCCACCUGGCGUGCGCCAUUUGACCCAGAGAACACCAGGAGAAGUUACUCAAAAGGGGUACAGCCCGUUUGAGGGAAGAAACAACUUUUUCAUGGAGGUUAAGGAUUAUGAUUGACCGGGGCUUCUGCCCUAGUGGGCCUAGGAGCAGCCACCUAUAUAGAAAGCGUCGAAGCUCGAGCAGCAUUUUCCCCAUUAUACCACUAAAUAAACCCGAAACCCCAACUUUGUAUUGGACCACUCUACUUGAAGUAGAAAAGAUCCUGCUAGCAUGAGUAAUAAGAAGUCAUAAGGACUUCUCCCGGCACAAGUGUAUACCAGAACGGACAAACCACUGAAAAUUAACGGACCCAACGCCAGAGGGUGAUGAAAUCUACCUGAUAAACUGGAAAAGCAUUCAUACCCAACCCGUUUACCCUACACCGGAGUGCCCUAAGGAAAGACAAAAGGAAUAGAGAAGGAACUCGGCAAACUUCAGCCUCGCCUGUUUACCAAAAACAUCGCCUCUUGCAAACCAUAUAGAAUAAGAGGUCCAACCUGCCCAGUGACACUAUGUUCAACGGCCGCGGUAUUUUGACCGUGCUAAGGUAGCGCAAUCACUUGUCUUUUAAAUGAAGACCUGUAUGAAAGGACUAACGAGGGCUGAGCUGUCUCCUUUUUCCAGUCAAUGAAAUUGAUUUCCCCGUGCAGAAGCGGGGAUGUACACAUAAGACGAGAAGACCCUGUGGAGCUUAAGGCCCCAGCAAAGUCCAUGUUAAUGAAGUCUUUAUGAGGACUACAAACUAAAUGAAUACUAGUGCUGGGCCUUCGGUUGGGGUGACCAUGGGGUAGAAACAGCCCCCAGGCGGACAGGGAACACUGAAGGAAUUUAACCAUAAACACAUAACUCCACUCCUCAAAACAAGAGCCUCAACUCUAACUAACGAAAUUUUCGACUCAAAGUGAUCCGGGUGAUACCGAUCAACGAACCAAGUUACCCCAGGGAUAACAGCGCCAUCCCCUUCUAGAGCCCAUAUCGACAAGGGGGUUUACGACCUCGAUGUUGGAUCAGGACAUCCUAAUGGUGCAGCCGCUAUUGAGGGUUCGUUUGUUCAACGAUUAAAGUCCUACGUGAUCUGAGUUCAGACCGGAGCAAUCCAGGUCAGUUUCUAUCUAUGACCAAGCUUUCUUCUAGUACGAAAGGACCGAGGAAAGGGGGCCCAUCCUAAAAGCACGCCCCACCCCCCAUCUGGUAAACCAGGAUAAACCAGGGAAGGGAAAGAGCCUUUCUGCUAUAGAAGAUAGUGU